rnacentral:rRNA from 1 species
AUGGAACAAUGUAGGCAAGCGAAGUCGGCAAAAUGGAUCCGUAACUUCGGGAAAAGGAUUGGCUCUGAGGACUGGGCUCGGGGGUCCCGGCCCCGAACCCGUCGGCUGUCGGUGGAUUGCUCGAGCUGCUCACGAGGCGAGAGCGGGUCGCCGCGUGCUGGCCGGGGGACGGACCGGGAAUCGCCCCUUCGGGGGCUUUCCCCGAGAAUGAAACAGUGGACUCAGGACUGGUACGGACAAGGGGAAUCCGACUGUUUAAUUAAAACAAAGCAUUGCGAUGGUCCUCGCGGAUGCUGA